CCAUCGACUCGGGCCCGAAUGAUGGCCUGAUGGCUGCCGAUAUCUGUCGAGAAGAGAAGACGCCUCUCCUUUAUGGCAUGCACGGCAAUGUUACGGGGCUACUGCGAGUUCGCCCAGGAAGCUAAAAGAGGCAACAUUUUAGAACACAGCUGAAUAUUCUUACCGGACAACGGCAGCGGUACAUUCGGGCAGUCUGUCGUAGCUGGGGGGAUGCAGGGCACGACCUUGGCAAGGCUGCGGCUCUGGCCCGUCUUGAUCAAUGUCCCCGGUGCUCCAGUCGCUCCAGUACACGUCGUCCUAGCUGCCAACCAGUACCUGACACUUGUUGCCAUCCAGACUGACGUCAUUCUGUUCUUCUUCUUCCUUUUUAUGACAUUUUGACGUCAUUUCUGCUCUUAUUUUUCUGACAUUUUUACGUUAUUUUUGUCAUUUUUGAAACAUGACAAAAUUAUCGCAUGCGAGUGAAUUUUCUAACAUGGAAAGAGCGCUGACUGGCGAUACAUUUGCUCUGUUCUGAAUGGAGGGGAGGAGCGCUGAAUCUGCAAAUGUAAAAUGACAUGCGCGUCGCCAGGUGGAGCAAGUCGGACAUGACAUGUAGGAAGGAUGUUCCGGCCGUAUAUAUUGAGGUGUUCAACCUGGUCGCUUCCCUUUUUCCAGUCUUCGGGUCCCAGAGAUGAGAUAGUUUUGAUGUCGAGACAAGUUUGGGGGGAUCAUGUAAUCAGUGGAUCUGGUAAUGUCCCUGCCAAUUGAGCUGUGCCCGUAUCCUUGUGGCGACAUAUUUCCUGAUGCGAUUGGGCGCUGUGCUGCCUUUCCUGCAAUCAGGCGAUCGUGAAUGUCCAGGUGGUCGAUUCCUAGGACAGUGCUUUUGUUGGGAUUGACCGCAGCGCCCUGUAAUACAGAGCAGAGCCUGUCGCUGUGUCUUUUCCAUAAGCUUAUGCUGACAGGCCCCAUGUCUUGCUGAUCAUCUUCUUGCAUGCAUAAAGCGCAAUGGUGGCCUUCAUCACCCUUUCCACUAUAUUGGGUCUCCAUGCCAGCUUGCUGUUCAGUACUGUGCCAAUAAAUGGGUUGGAAAACUAAUUAAUCACAAUUAAGAACCUUAUCGACUGCAUGUGCAUGUACACCAAACCCUAUCUGCCUGCAAUUCAGAAACCGGAAUUUCAAUACAAAAUGUAUCUAAAAUUUUAAGUAGCGCAAAUA